rnacentral:rRNA from 1 species
UUGGCUCAGGAUUAACGCUGGCGGCAUGCCUAAUACAUGCAAGUCGAAUGGGGAGCUUGCUUCCCAUGGCGAACGGGUGAGUAAUACGUAGGUAACCUACCUUUAGGACGAGGAUAACCUUUGGAAACGAAGGAUAAUACUGGAUAGUAUAGAUUUCCGCAUGGAGAUAUAUUUAAAGAUUUAUCACCUAGAGAGGGGCCUGCGGUGCAUUAGCUAGUUGGCGGGAUAAAAGCCCACCAAGGCGAUGAUGCAUAGCCGGACUGAGAGGUCGUACGGCCACAAUGGAACUGAGAACGGUCCAUACUCCUACGGGAGGCAGCAGUAGGGAAUUUUCGGCAAUGGGCGGAAGCCUGACCGAGCAAUGCCGCGUGAAUGAUGAAGUAUUUCGGUAUGUAAAGUUCUUUUAUCUAGGAAGAAAAACAAAUUGACGGUACUAGAUGAAUAAGCUCCGGCUAACUACGUGCCAGCAGCAGC